UACGUAGGGGGCAAGCGUUGUCCGGAAUCAUUGGGCGUAAAGAGCGUGUAGGCGGCCUGGUAAGUCCGCUGUGAAAGUCCAGGGCUCAACCCUGGAAUGCCGGUGGAAACUGUCAGGCUCGAGUCCGGAAGAGGCGAGUGGAAUUCCCGGUGUAGCGGUGAAAUGCGCAGAUAUCGGGAAGAACACCCGUGGCGAAGGCGGCUCUCUGGGACGGUACUGACGCUGAGACGCGAAAGCGUGGGGAGCGAACAGG
rnacentral:rRNA from 1 species